UACGUAGGGUGCAAGCGUUGUCCGGAAUUAUUGGGCGUAAAGAGCUCGUAGGCGGUCUGUCGCGUCUGCUGUGAAAACUCAGGGCUUAACCCUGAGCUUGCAGUGGGUACGGGCAGACUAGAGUGCGGUAGGGGAGACUGGAAUUCCUGGUGUAGCGGUGAAAUGCGCAGAUAUCAGGAGGAACACCGGUGGCGAAGGCGGGUCCCUGGACAACACCUGACACUGAGGCACGAAAGCUAGGGGAGCAAACAGG
rnacentral:rRNA from 1 species